UCAUAAAACCGGCAGAGCUGCUUCUAAUGAAACGAAUCAGUCUGGCUGCUCCUCGUGCCUUUCCCAACCCCCCUUUUUCCCCACAGACGUCAGUCGUCUUGGGGAUAGCCGGCAAAUCCUGGCUAAGCUCCACCAGCAGACGCGAUUAAGAAAGCUCUUCUCAAUUUUUCAUCUUUACUUUCGUAGCAAAGCGGCAGCGGUCGCCGAUCCUGCGUUUCCCGAGGGGAAGCACAGACGGAGACAACAAUGACUGUGCUGUCUGCAGCGCAACACGGGAGACGUGCGUUCUGAGGGAACCGAGUCUGCUGCUCUAUUCUGAGCGCUCCGCCGACGUUAGAAUCAGACGAGCAAACGGAACCGCGCGUCCUCGGGGAAUCCCCGGAGCGGGUCUCCAUAAAGGAGGGCAUAAAUCUCCAACGCAAUCCGCCGGCACGCGGGACAUUACGGGAAAACCUCUUGGAAAGCCCGAGACGAUGAAAGGAUUGCGGGCUCCAGUUCUGCAGUUUGACUCUGCAGUUUCCCAGGGACCGGGGUUUCGUAAUGUUCAUUUAGAGGGGCGAUUUCUUUUGCCUUUCACUGGACCGGGCAGCGUUCUUCAGUCCAGACUUCGCAUUUCCUCACGUGCAGGAUGCUGACAGUUUAUCAGGCUUAGGAAGGCCCCGUAUUUAAUGCAACAUAUUUAAUCUUUGGCCAGUUAGUAUAAAUUAGAAAAUUAUUAAGAAAAGCCACUCAUGUAAACAAAGUAAUAUAAUGGAUAUCACAGAUUUGUCUGAAUGUUCAGCACAUCCUAAAGACAGGAAAAUAUCACAUAGCCAAUAUAUUUUCCUCAGAUCGUUUCCUCAUACGCACUCAUCAUUUCAUACAAGGUAAUAUUGCUGUUUUCUGUAAAGAUGCAAUAACGAAAUAAAUUGUUUAAAACUCAGUUUCUUUAGUUUAACAUUUGUGUCUGAAAUGUCACAGUUGAGUGUGUCUAUUUACUGUGAUUGUCAGGGCAAAAAUGAUGCACAACUUAACACCACCUCACAACAAUCACACAAUGCAAGAUCUCUAAAUCUUUCUAUGUAUUGUCUUUUUUUUGGCCCAUGUGUCUGAGAAAGACCUGGAGACGACGGUAAAAGUUUGAGUGUCGAUAAACGACUAAAAAAUAAAAUCAGUGUACCCACAGGGUGUGUGACAUGACGAUCUUAGAUCGUGAACAAUUAAAAUUUCUCCAAGAUCUGCCUUUACAGAGAUCGGAAAUAUCGUGCUUCAGAGCUACUGUGCAUUCUAUCAGCACAGUUGCACUGACAGCACUCACUUACUGCUUCCAUACUCCGUUUUACUAGCGCUCCCGGCCCCACUGCUAACAAAGACACACCUAUAAAUCAAUAGCAUCAUACAUAGGAGGCGGUAGCUUUAAAAACACAAUGCUGGAUUGGAUACCAGUUUACUUGACUGGCAUUCUUUUCUAAUUCCCCGCUAACUUGAAAACAUGCUGCAUGGCUGACACUGACAAAGAGUUUAGUUUCUGAAAAAAAGUUCUAGUUCAGCAAUAUGGAACUGGUUUGGAUUUUCCAGGUCCGACAGAACUCAAAGCACAGUCAUUUGCAAAAUUUGCAGAAAUGAGGUUCGUACAUUGAAUGAAAAUACAGCAAAUCAUCCGAAAAAAGCGCCCCCCAGAGGGAAUGCGGACAGUUUAAUAUAAGCAGAUCUCACGCUUGUCCAUCCAGCUCAGCCACGUGUAUUUGUUUGUCUCUUGUUGAAAAGUAUGACGAUAUUAGUCUCUAUCUUAUUGACAAAUGCAUGUAUCAUGAUCCAUAAACUCACACAUGAUUUAUUAUCCACAAAUAUCUUUCAACUUGUGUCUUGUAAAUUGUCAUUUAAAUGAAUGUGUACUGAAUACAUUUGUACAAAAGAAUGCAUGUGUGAAUAGCCUACAUAUUUUCCCUUUGGCACAAAUGCCUCAUACUUUGUAUAUGACAACCAAAAAUAUGUUUCCAAUUUCUCAGUGUAUUUUUUUUUUUCAGUGAGACGUUCUCAAAUGUAAAAUUGGCUUGUGAAGUUUUGAAUCUGCAUUUGCGGAUUGAGAGACGCAUACAUUCACUAGAUUUUAAAAAAUAUAAUGUUAUAAGUAGUUUUUGUUUUCUUUUAGAUCUAUAUUUUCUUAAAACGGAGCAAAUGGUCUAUUGUAUAAUUACUAGUUUGGCUGUACUGUUCACGAACUUGCCAUAUAGUCUGAGAAAAGCCACAAGAAAAAAAUUGUGAUCCAUAUUGUGAAUCGUGAUACAUAUAUGUAUAUAUUUUUUAAAAUAGUGAUAUGAUAUUUUGGCCGUAUCGCCCACCCCCA